rnacentral:rRNA from 1 species
GACGAGGGGUCCUAGCGUUGUUCGGAAUCAUUGGGCGUAAAGCGGGUGUAGGCGGUUUAGUAAGUCAGGAGUGAAAGCCCUGGGCUUAACCCAGGAAGUGCUUUUGAUACUGCUGAACUUGAGUAUCGGAGAGGGUAGUGGAAUUCCUGGUGUAGUGGUGAAAUACGUAGAUAUCAGGAGGAACAUCGGUGGCGAAGGCGGCUACCUGGCCGAAUACUGACGCUGAGACCCGAAAGCGUGGGGAU